rnacentral:sRNA from 1 species
GAGGUUCGACCCGAGCGACGCGAGAGAACGUUGCGUCAGCAACGGCCCGCAGGGCGAGCCACGCAGUGGCGAGUCAUCCUCUAUCACCGACCA